rnacentral:rRNA from 1 species
UACGAGGGGGGCAAGCGUUGUUCGGAAUUAUUGGGCGUAAAGCGUGCGCAGGCGGUUCGUUGUGUCGGCGGUGAAAGCCCCGGGCUUAACCUGGGAAUGGCCGUUGAAACUGGCGAACUGGAGUGUGGCAGAGGGGGAUGGAAUUCCGCGUGUAGCAGUGAAAUGCGUAGAUAUGUGGAGGAAUACCGAUGGCGAAGGCAGCCCCCUGGGAUAACACUGACGCUCAUGCACGAAAGCGUGGGGAGCAAACAGG